UAAUACGUCAUUUGGUGUUUCCG
rnacentral:miRNA from 1 species